rnacentral:lncRNA from 1 species
UUUUUUUUUUUUUUUUGGUCUAGCUUCUUUUGCUUAGCAUAAUAUUUUGAGAUAGAUUCCAUGUUAUUGCAAGUACCACUAAUUUCUUCCUUUUCAUUGCUGAGUGUUAUCCCAUUGAAUAAAUAUACCACAAUUUAUUUCUCCAUUCACCCGUCAGUGGACAUGUAGGUUGGGUCCAGUUUUUAGUUAUUAUGGAUAAAGCUACUAGGAACAGACAAAUGCUUAUAUGAACAUAUAUAUAUAUCCUGGGUAAAUACCCAGGAGUGAGAAUGCUAUAUAGCAUAAUUCAAGUAUAUAUUACUAUAUAAGAAGUGGGCUUGUCAUCCAUCAACCAAAUCUUUCCCUAUAUCUUCAACCUCUUCUCUCUGUGUUCCAGUUACCUUCUUCCUUCAGCAAUAUUAUAGGACCAAAAGGGGAUGUAGAACAUUCUGUGUGCUCUCAUUGCUCUCUUCAAACCACUUCUCCUCUCUCAUUCCCUCCAGGUCCUCCUGAGGUGCAGCCCAUCAAACAACCCUACUUUCUACAACACGUCCAUGUUGCUUUCAUCCAACACCCUCUUGAUCUCUGCUCCUAUCUCGUUGAAGGUUUUAAUGCCUGUGUCCCUGUCUCCUCUACCAUUACUCUCGUCACCAUAUAGUUUUCAUUCCACAAAAUUUACGGAGGGCUUAUUUUGUGUCAGGCGCAGCUCUCGCUCCUGGGAAUAUAGCAAUAGACAAAAGAGGACCAUUGAGGAGAUGGAUAGAUGGAUAGAUACACACACACACAUCUGUAUAUACGCAUUAUACUUUUCUGAGAAAAAUAAAGCUGAAAGGGGAGUAGGCACCUCAUUGGGAGGUGAGAGCUAAAACUGCUUUCAUUUUUAAUAGGAUGUUAAAAAGGGUACCGAGGGGAUGACAGCUGGGCAAGGCCAUAGGUGAUAAAGAAGGUAAUGCAAAUGUAUGGGGAAAGAGAGUUUCAGGCAAAAUCAACCACAAACACAAAAUGUUUGCGUCUGGACGAUGCCUACUGUGUUCCAGAAACAGUGGGAAGGCCAGUGUGGCUGGGGCCGAGUGAGCAAAAAGGAUACGGAAAAGGAGGUCAGGGAGAUGAAGGAAGGAUGCAAUCAGUGGACCAUGGUAAGGAUUUGAAAGUUAGUUUAGGUGGGAUGUAAAGCCACUGGUGGGUUUUGAGGAGAGGACCCACAUGAUUAGUCUUAUACUUGUAAAGCUUUGAUUCAGUCUACGUUGAGAAUAAAAGAUUACUGACCAGUUGGCAAGUUAAUGCAAUAAUUUGGGAGACAGAUAAUUCAGGUAAUAGUGGUAGGAGUUGUACAUAUUUUUUAGGUAUAGUCACCAAUAUUUGUUGAGUAAUUGAAAAUCGGGUGUGAAGAUAAAAAGUUAUGCUCCAAGAUUUGGUGCAUGGGAAAAGGAGAAGUAUGGAGAUACCAUCAACUUUGGUGGAGAAAAAUGCAAGAGGAGCACAUUUGGGGGGUGAAAUUGGGAACCCAGCUUUAGAUGGCUUUUCUUGUCUGAGUGUAACACUCUGACUUCCCGGUUUCUUGUCACCUUCAUCCCAGGAAUCUCACUCUCUGCUCUGCUUAUGGUGCUCAUUCCUAGGGUGUGGUUCUCAAGGUUAUUUCCUGGAUUUUGUCAUCACCAAUUAUCACUUCACCUUCAAAGGACUGAUUCCAAGCAUCCAGCUCUCUUGUUACCACCGUGUAAUCAGCUCACACUAUUUCCCUCUCCUUCCCCUUCUCUUUGGCCCCACUGGGAAAUUCUCUCCAUUGACCUCACAACAGUGUUGCUAUCGUCCUGUGCCACUCUUAAAGCUUCCACAGGCUUCCUUGCCCACUUUAGAUGCCUGCAUGGUCCACUAUCAUUAUUAUUUAUUUAGCUCACUUUCUCUUCCUUCUCCUGUCAUACUCCACAUGACAAAACUUUGGUCCUGUUUAAUCCCAGUUUCCCCACUGCUCAAUUAUUAGACGAGUAUGGCUGCUGAAAAACUCACUGGUGUGCUGAAUAGUCUCACUUUAAACUUAUGGUCACAACUAUCUGAUAGCCACUCAGCCCUGCUUACCAACCUUAAUUUAUUCCCUUAAUAAAUUUGCUUGUUUACUCUUUGAGAUGAUCAUUUCAGGUCUUUUCAGAUCUUUUCAAAGAUGUUAAUUCCCCCUUUUUUCCCCCUAUUUUCAACUGAAGGUCAUGCUUCUUAUUAAACUGAGAAAAAAAGAAGUAGCUAUAGCCUUCCUCAUUUCUCUAACCUCAAUUCUAUCACCCUGUCUGUGUUUAUACCUGUAUAUUUCGACUUGCCUCUAAUCCGUGUGGAUAAACAUCUCUGUUCCUGUCUGAAGCCACUUCUCUGAACUGGAUUCUUUUUCUUCUCAGCUAUUAAAGAUUUUUGUUCUUCUGAUUAUGUUUUCUCCCAACUGAAUCUUUAUCCUCUCAUCUACUGGACUUUUCCUGACAUCUUUCAAGCAUGCAAUAAUAAUAAUAAUAAUAAAUCCUUAAAAAAAGUUCCCAGAAUUCCUGUCAUGGCUCAGCAGAAACAAAUCUGACCAGUAUCCAUGAGGAUGCAGGUUUGAUCCCUGGCCUCGUCCAAUGGGUUAAGGAUCCAGCAUUGCUGUGAGCUGUGGUCAAAGUUGCAGUUGCAGCUCAGAUCUUGAGUUGCUGUGGCUGUGGUGUAGGCCUGCAGCUACAGCUCUGAUUCUACCCCUAGCUUGGGAACCCCCAUACACUGUGGGUACUGCCCUAAAAAAAAAAUUGAAAAAAACAAAACCAAACCAAAAAAAUUUCCUCUUACCAUACAUUUCCUUUUAGCUAUUUACCCUUAAUUCAUUUUGACCAGAAACUUUCCCAUCAAGCUCCUGAAACCAUUCUCUUCAAAAUCAUUAACAACUUCCAUCUUGCCAACUUCAAUGGCCAAUUUUCUGACUCACUCAAAAUACCCACAGCAGUUGACACAGUUAGUUUCCCUUUCCUUUUUUUUUUUUUU